rnacentral:rRNA from 1 species
GACGAACGCUGGCGGCGUGCCUAAUACAUGCAAGUCGAACGCUUCUUUCCUCCCGAGUGCUUGCACUCAAUUGGAAAGAGGAGUGGCGGACGGGUGAGUAACACGUGGGUAACCUACCCAUCAGAGGGGGAUAACACUUGGAAACAGGUGCUAAUACCGCAUAACAGUUUAUGCCGCAUUGCAUAAGAGUGAAAGGCGCUUUCGGGUGUCGCUGAUGGAUGGACCCGCGGUGCAUUAGCUAGUUGGUGAGGUAACGGCUCACCAAGGCCACGAUGCAUAGCCGACCUGAGAGGGUGAUCGGCCACACUGGGACUGAGACACGGCCCAGACUCCUACGGGAGGCAGCAGUAGGGAAUCUUCGGCAAUGGACGAAAGUCUGACCGAGCAACGCCGCGUGAGUGAAGAAGGUUUUCGGAUCGUAAAACUCUGUUGUUAGAGAAGAACAAGGACGUUAGUAACUGAACGUCCCCUGACGGUAUCUAACCAGAAAGCCACGGCUAACUACGUG